rnacentral:lncRNA from 1 species
AGAGAGAGAAAACUUUAGGAGGAUGUAGGUUGACUUUAAUAAGAAAGAGAAAAAAUUAGAGAGGUGCAGAAUGACUUUAUGAAAAAAGAGAAAAUAUUAAAAUAAUAUUGAUUAAGGUUAAAAUGGUAAUAUUUGGAGGUGCCCGAUGAGAGCUUGGAGGUGUAGGAUGAAACACCCCAGUUUUUAUUUGUAUUUGGCCCAAUGUCCGAUUUACAUCUAUUUAAAGAUUAUCAAAAUUUAAUGAAAAUAACCUAGAAUGGAUUGAAGUGUAAAAUUUUUUUGUGUGGAUCACUGUUUUUUAACACUUUUUCCUUAAUAAACCCAACAAUAUGUAGUGUGACUGUUAUUAGUAAGUUAACAAAAGUUUUACUUAGUGUUUUUAUCAACAAAUGUAUUUGUCGAUAAAUAACAAAAAUAAAAAAUAGCUGUAUUAAAAUUGCGAGACUAAAUUUUAUAACUGUAAUUAUUAUUUUUAGUAAAGGAAUACUUUAAUAUAAUUGGACGAGAGAUUAUUAACAAUCUGUUUACCCAAAUAUAAAUCCUUUCAUUUACAAAAUUCAUUAGCUUCAGUCUACAAGCACGAAGUAAAAAUAUAAUAGUUUCUUACAUGAAAAUUUGUUACAUAUAUUUAUCCUAAUUAUCAAUUGAUUUUUUUUUUCAGUGGUACCAUUUUAAAAAAGAAAAAUAAUAGAAACUAUUUAUCAAAAUCAUAGCCAAAAAUACCAUAAUAAAAUAAUAGAAUGGAGCAUAAACAUAAAGAUAUUCUAAACGCAACAAGAGUAGUAAGAUUUCAAGAAAACUUUCCCUUUUAUAUUUGGGGUGAAUGCAUUAUAAAUGCAGACUACUUGAUUAAUUUGACACCAUCCUUCAUUCUUGAUAGGAAAACUCCAUAUGGGUUGAUCCAUCGCAAACUUCUACCUAUGAUCACUUGAUAGUCACUUUCAUAUGCUCAUAAUCAACAUUAAAAAAAAAUAGAUAAAUUCAAUAGUAAAAGUCAUAAAUGCAUUUUUGUUGUUGGCUAUUCAGAAAAAAAAAAUGGUGUUUGACUUAGAAAAAUAUGCUUUUUUUUCUUCUUGAUUUUAAUUGAUUAUCUCAUCAGUAUAGUCUAUACUUUCUCUGUGAAGUACAUUUCUUUGAGAAUUAAGGAUGUCAUCAAAAUUAUAGUUGUUUAAAGUAAACUUAGAAAGGGUUUUCAUCAAAUACUUAAAUCUUUCUAUCUAUUUUGGAUAAUUCUCAUAAUUAGGUGCACUUUUCUUACAAUCACAUACAAGGUUUUUGUGGGCAUUUUUUAGAGUUAUAAAGUUAGUUUUUAGAUUUUUAUUUAUAUUUGACCUAUAAGCACUGGACGUAAUAACCCUUUUUUAUAUCUGACACUUACAAGUUAAAUAUAAAUUUUGAUCAUUUAAUUACAAAAAUACCACCACACUUUUUUAACUUAUAUGUCACAUGUAAAUUCAGUGACAUAAUAAGUUAUUUUUGUGUUAGUAUAAUUAUAUUUAUAAUGUAUAUAACCAUUGCUAUUAUACAAUUUAUAAUAUCUUAUCAUCAUCAUAAAUGUGUUUUAAUAUUUGAUUGAUAGAUUAAAAGAUUAUUAUAAAAGUUUGUUAUAUAUAAUAUAUAUAAAAUCUAUUGUUUUAAAGAUUGAAAGGUGAGAAGAAUAUGGAACCAAGUAAUAACCAAUCCUAAAAUUUUGAUGAAGGAUUCACUGGAAUACAUCCAAGAUGAUAAAGUUCUUAAAAGGCAAGUUUCUUUAACAAUUUCACAUCAAAGAUCUAAAUCUUUGAGAAAAGCUCCUUUUCAAAGGAUUGUUUUUGCUCUACAAAUAUUUUAUUCAUAAAAAUGGUGACAACCCUUCUUAUCCAUUGCCUCAUGAAAGCUUUAGAAAUUAUGUCUUAUAUUAUAACAAUCCAUUGCAAAGAAACUCACAAAGAAUUAUGUGAAUGUUAAUUUAAAUAGAUUUUUUCUCAAUAAAAAUAAAGCAAGAAGAAUAUCUUUUACUAAGGUUGAAUGAUGAUGAAGAUAUGGAUGAAGGAGUAGAGGUUUGUGUCUAUUAUAAUAAUAAUAAUAAUAAUAAUAAUAAUAAUAAUAAUAAUAAUAAUAAUAAUAGGAAAUAUUUAUACUCUAACUUUCAAGAAUUGGGAAAAAAAUAUUAUAUCUUGAGUGAUAAGGGGAAAACUUUCUUCGAAUAAUCAUAAAUGACAUAGUAAUGAUACCAUUAUGAAUGUUUGUCAUCCAAAAAAUAACAAGUUAUGUGUUGUUCUUGAAUUUGAAAAGAUUAAAAGGUGAAAAGGACCUAUAAUGGUUGACUCAAUGGAAGAGUUUCAAACUAUAUUAAUUAGUGUCAUUAGUCUUUUAUUUCAGAUCUAAAAAGAAAGAAUAAAGUUAAAAAGCAUUUCAAACACUAGUAAUCGGAAACACCAAAAAGGGACUACAGAGACUUGAAGGCACCUUCUUCAUAUUUUCUUUUUAUUCAAUUUUCUUCUUUAAUUCUUUGUUCUAGCUGAUGAAUCAGUGAGGCGUGAGAGAGGACCUCAUGUUAUACAGAUCUUGUACUACAGAUCAUACCAUAUGAAAAUCAGUAAGGAUUGUCAAACUUAGUGUUAAAAUAGACUUUACAGAAAAACUUGAAUAUCAUCACAGAUUCAGAACUUCUUGAGAAAAAUUUAGACACGUGAAGUAAACUUACUUCCACAAGCAAUAUGAACCAUGGAGCCAUUGUUAGAAAAUGGUGAUUGACACAAACAAUUGGUUGCUGCCUUCUUCCCCAAACAUCAAAUAUAAGUCAUGCAGAAUAAGAAAGUGGAGCUAGAGGAAAGUGAAGAAUAAGGCAAAUGAUCGGGGUGGACUUUUAAGCUUUUUGGUAAUCUAAAUGAAUUCAUAGAUUGGGGAGGCCAGAUAACAUGCACUUAAGAAUAUACACGGAAAUUGGAUUAGUGAACUACCACCAAGUCCUUGGCUCAAUUAAUAUACCUGAGAUCGGUUGGAUUAAAGGCAGAGACAAUAGCUAAUGGGAUAUGAGCAAUUUUUGACCAUUCUUCACCAUGUCCUCUAGCACAUCUUCCUUCUAGCAUUGAGCAAUUAUAUAUGCAGAGUCGUUGUAAAGAUACAAGAUUCCGAAUUCCAUCAGGUAUUGAUUUCAAACAAUAGCAAUUACUGAUUUCAAGACUCAAGAGUGAUGAGAGAUUCCCUAUCCAGUCUGGUAAACUGUUGCCACAAUAUCCAUCUAUUACUAGUCUUUUUAUUGAAUGAUGUGGCUGCAGGCCUUUCAAUAUCUUUUCGUCUUUUAUUUUAUUUUCAUCGUCCACCCAUCUGUUUUCUUCUUCCUUACGUCUAUUUUUAACAGGAUCCUUCCGAUAUUUAGUCUCACGGAACCCCCACCGUAAUUCCAAAUCUUGAAGAUGUUGCUUCUCCAGUAAUAUGUUUGCAGACUCAACCACUGCAGCAUUUUCUCGCAGGGAAUCCAAGCAUUUAAUUACUAAUUUUCCUCUAAGGUUGUUUAGCCCACUCAAUUCACUUAUAUCAACGUUUUUACUUUCAGAGUCCAAUAUAAAAUGUGUCAGUGUUUGAAGAUUGGUCAAUUGUCCCAACCCACAUGGCAUACAUCUCAAUUCCCCACAAUCAUUCAAUUCAAGAUGCCUAAGACUUUUGUUGAUAUCUGAGGGUAAUUCUUUAAAUUUGCCACACCGAGAUAGUUUUAAAGUCUGCAAGUUAUGUAGGCUAGUAACAUCUGGUGGAAGACUUACCAGAAACCUAUUAAAUGAAAGAUCAAGAUAUCUCAAUUGCUUCAACUUUCGAAUACUAUCUGGAAUUGUUAUCAAAUGCAACCCACAGAGUGUUAACACCCGUAGGCACUUUAUGCUUAAGAGAAAAGGAAAAUGAAGACUUGGCGGAGGACCCAAAUUUUGUCUUCCAUAAAGUGGCUCUGGCUGUCCAAGCAAAAUAAAUGUCCUUAACUUGUUGGAAGAUGAUGAUGUUUUCUCUGAAAAAUGUAAUGAAGUACAAGAGGACAAAUAACGUGUUCUGUUUUCAAUGUGCUCUUUUUUUCCUUCAACAAAGGCGUAUUCUUUUCCAACAACAAGCUGUGCUAGAUCAUGUAUCAGGUCAUGCAUUUUACAAGUAAGAAUGUCACCACAAUCAUCUAAAGUCACAUUUUGGAAAAGUGACAUUGACAGCAAAUUCAUGAAGUACUCAUGACCAACAUCUUCUUCACAUCUAUUGUCUCGUGAUGGUUGAAUGAACCCCUCAGCCACCCAUAACUGAAUGAGUGUUUUCUUGUCAAACUCAAAAUCUUUUGGAAACAAUGAACAAUAAGCAAAACACUUUUUCAAAAAUGAAGGAAGAUGAUCAUAACUCAGUUUAAGGAUUGAAAAAAUGUUGUCCUUGUGUUGAUCUAUCUUUGAAAACUCAACUUCACUAAAAUAUUGCCAAUCACUCCGACCCAAGUUUCGAGAGUACAAGAGGCUGCCAAUAGUUCUUAUGGCAAGGGGAACCCCAGCACAUUUUUUAACAAUAUCCCUUCCCAUGGCUAACAAUUCCAUAUCAUUUGGUUCUUUCCCCCCAUCAAAAGCCACUCGAGAGAAUAGCUUCCAAGAUCUUUCUAAAUCAAGACCUUUCAAGAAAAGGGGUGGAUGUGUGGCUACUAUUUUCGCCACAGUCCUACUACGUGCUGUUACAAUUAUGGCACUUCCUUUACCUCCUUCCACGACUAAGCUCUUGAAUUUAAGCCACAGUUCCCUAUCCUCAUUCCACACGUCAUCCAGCACAAGUAGAAACUUUUUUCCACGAACUUUGUUUCUAAGAUCUUGCUGUAGUUGCUCAAUCUCACUAUUCUUAUCAUUCCCAAUCAUCUUUUCGGCUAUUUUGCUGAUGUCAAAUUCAUCUGAGACACACACCCACAUUUUCUGCUCAAAAGAGCAUUGGACAGCAUUGUCAUUAAAAACAAGUUGAGCGAGGGUAGUCUUACCUAGUCCUCCAAACCCAACUAUGGCUAAUACAGACACAUUGUCUAUCACACUCACUUUGGUGUCAAGCAAAUAACUUUCAAGAAGUUUCUUUUCCUCCUUUCUCCCAAUAACAUCAUCUUCUCUCACAAAAGAAUAAGUUUGUCUCUGCCUCCUAUAUGCAAUUGGAGUCUCCAUAGGGCGGUCAGUCAAUUGCAAAGUAAUCUUGUUUUUAGCAAUAGCAUCUAGCCUCUUCUGGAUUGCUUUCAUUUGAUGACCUAAUUUAAAACUAUAGACAAUUUGGUUUUCUUGGGAGAAGAAAACCUGUAUCUUUCUCAAGAUUUUUCUAGCACCAAUCACUUUUCUUUUCAUUGCUUCAGAGGAGAUAUCAUUGAGCAAGUCAUCUGCAUCAUAAAGUACAUCUUUCAGCUCCUCCAACCAAUUACUGAUUUGAAGGUUGUUGGCCUUUCCCUCUGCAUCCAGGAGCACAGCCUUUAUUGCAGAUACUGUGCGCUUCAUUUGCUGUACGUCAUCUUUGAGAUUCCAAAUGAUUCCAAACUCCUCUUGAGCAAAAGAGUUCAAGUUUUGUAAUACUAUCUGAGCAAUUACUUCCAUCCUUUGCCAGAUGAAGUUUGGUACAAACAUUAGUAACAACAAUGUUAGGGAUCAAACAAUUUCACAGCCAAAUGUAGUUUUGUACAGCAUUAGAUAUCAAAUAAUUUCACAUCCAUAACAACAAAUGAAUCCUUUAAAAAAUAAAGUGUGGCCAGCUACAUGGGUGACAGCCACCAUAAUGUUCUGUUAUAAAUCAUAUCAUUUUGAUUGUGAGCAAUAUCCUCACAGUGGGUGUUACCUCUCCUGAAAAAUUCUUCUCCAUACACACAAUCAGGGAAUCAAACCCUUUAAUUUGCUUAAAGAACUCAGUUAUCUACGAUUUGUGUUGAUAUGUUAUAAAUCAGAUUUGAGGAGAAAUCAUUGACCUUGGAAGUCAAAUAGUCUUGUUGCAUAUAACAAGAAAGGAGCAGACAAAAUUCCAGUUAAGAUGAUAAAAAAAAUCAACGAGUUCUACUAACGUUUUCAAAACAUAUUGAUUAACUGAAUAGGACGCGAUUACAGAAACCAGAAUUAAAAUAAAAAAGUAAAAAUGAUGGGUGUCUAUAUAUGUUGGAAUUGAGAGAGAAAAUUCCAGAGUAAUGAUAUUAGUUGCAUGGUUUAUGAUGAAAUUAAGUGGUGCUAUCUACAAUAGAACAUCUUAUUGGUUGAAUACCUAAGAAAGUUAGAAUUAGAGAGACAGGGAGAGAUAGCUGACCUGCUUUGGAAAAAGGAGUGUAAAUGCAGGGGCAACAGUUGUGGGCAAGUGUUGAAUAUCAAGAGAUAUGAGGAGCCACCCAUAUAAGGGAAAUAAAAAUAAUAUAAUAUUAUUUUCACAAGUAACAAAUUUUUAUACAUACUUUAAAUUCAUUCUGUACCUUUUAACUAGCAUGGUUUAAACUAACACGUAAUCUGUGCAUAUGUUUAGAGGAAUGAAUACUUUAAUAAAAAUUAUGUAAUUAAAUAAAAGUUUACCAUACUGUUUUAUUAUAUAUUGGUUUUUUUUCAAGAUUGAACUUUAUAAAUAUUUUGUUAACUUUGAAACAAUGUAAUGUUUUAAAAAUUAAAGAUGAGAUAAACUAUUACUGAAAUUUAAAUACAAAAAAUUAGUUUAAUAUUUUAAAUAUCAUAUCUUAUUAUAUUUUAUAUAUAUAUAUAUAUUGCAAAGUAAAAUAAAUACAUAAUUCAAGCGCACAAUAUUUAUUUUAUAUUUAAGUUGGAAAAUAUCUCAGGAAAAAAUUUAUUAGGAAUGAAUCCAACUUUAUUUGUGUCAAUAUAUUGUGAUUGUAAAUUAAUAAUUGCUAUACCUAAACAUAAAAACUACGAUUAAAAGAACAAACAUAUAUAAUUAAACAUAAUUUGGUGAAACAACUAUUAAAGAAUGAGAUAUUUUUCAUUCACUGUCUGAAGUUAGAAUGUGAAAUCUAGCACAUCCUUUAACGAAAUCCUUGUGAAGAAAUAUGGUUUUAGAAUCAUUUAGGAGAAUAAGACUUAAACCCUUUGCAAGUAAACAAAUGAUAGUAACUCAACUUUUAUGAUUGAAGAUCCAUGAAUAAGGUUUAUAUAGGUAAAAAUAAAUCACUUGUUGGUUCAUAUAACACUAAAUUGAUUUUAAAUCAAUUAUGUACAUUCAUAUGGUGUGUGUCAAUGUGUUAGAUACUACAUUAUUGAAAGGUUAGACUUUGUAAUUAAAAUCCUAGUGUAAGAAUUUUAGUCUAACAAAGUUUUUAAUGUUUUUCAUAUCUUUUAUGGGUGGGUUGUAUGAUUUGCAACAUACGCUUGAUUAAAUUACCUACAUGAGUGUCGAGUGUGGUGACUUGCAUGAGAUCUUGGAAUAAUUUUUAGAACACUUGUAAAUACUAGACACACGCAUCGCCUAUUAAGCACAAUACAACAAUAUAACAACAAAAAUUAUGAUGAUGUAUUGUGAUUGAUAAACCGCUAAGACAUAUUAUUGUUCUUGGUUUAUAUAACUUAUUAUGUCAACUACAAUAUAUGUUAAGUUUCUCAAUAAGAGUACAUAUUCUAUAAAGGUUUGCUUUUAUAAAAAAAGAGAAAGAGAGAGAGAAAAUAUUACAUAUAGAGAGAUUUUUUAUAUUUUUUAUUAUGAUAAAAAAAAUGGGAGAAAAUUUUUAAAUCUUAAAUGUCUUAAGAAAUUGUUUAAUGCUUUCCUCUUUUGUAGUACGUGUUUUUGUAGGUUUAUUACAAAUACUUUAAAAAAAUUGAAUACCAUAAAAAAAAAGGAGAAAUUGUUGACUAAAGAAAAAGAUGUUGGAAGUUUUUUAGUUUAUUUGUAUGGAAGUUUUUUAGUUUAUUUGUAUGAUGAUACUAAGUAAAAAGAUGAAAUAGAAGUUAAUGAUUAUUUGGAAGGCUUGUAUUUUGUUUGUUGUAAUGUUUUGAUUUGUAAUGUCUUUAUAAUAUUCUUGUAAUACUUGUUAAAGUAUUUUAGCUCAAGUCUAGAGAGUCAUAAAGUAACAACAUUUUGAAACACUAAGGAAAAACAAUUUUUUAAAUAUACACGAUGAUAAUCGAUUAUCACCUAUGACAAUUAACUAUUGCAUAAAGAAAUUAUUUUCGAAAAAUAGUUUUCGAUUAUAACUUAACUUUACAUAUUGUUAACCUAAUUCCAAAAUUUGGCUUUAUAAACGAAGUAAGGAAUUCUCUUUCAAAAAUAUAAGAGUUGGGUUAUAAUUUUAUGUGAAAAACUUUGAAAGCCUUUUGUGGAUAGAACAAUAACUUUAAUCAAGUGUGAUCUUGAGUGACUGAGUACAAAUGUUCUUGUUAAGUGAAACUAUUUAUCCUUUGUGUGACUCAAAUAAAGUGUUUAUACCUUGUGGAUUUUAUUCUUUCGUCUUUUGUAUAACUCAAGAGGAGUGUUUAAUUUUUUGUAAUAUUAAAAAAAAUGUUUAUUUUCUUAUGGUUUAAAUAAAAGUGUUCUUAAUAUCUUGGGAUUCUUCGGGCAAAGCAUGUAUUCUUUUUUAAACUAUUCAUUCUAUUAUUGUUUGUUAUUUUAGUUUAUUUUUAAUUGUUAGUUAAUUAUUAUUAAGAGUGGUUAAGAAUGACUUCUUUCCAUUCCAUUAUAAAAUUGUACAGUAUUAUACUAUUAACUUUUGCUUUUUUAUGUUUAUUUUUGUUAAAAUAGGGUAUUAUUAUUAAUCCGACAGCUUUUAUUUGUUGUCUGUAAUUUUGUUUUUUUAAAUACAGUUAACUUCUAUUACCAAUAAUACCUGCAAGGAUAUUUUUAAUUUAAUACUAAAGAAAUUAUAGAAUACUAUAAUUAAGAUUAGUAGUAUUAACAAAGUAGGGGUUACUGAUAAUAAAAUUUGACAGUAUUAACUUUGAUAGAUAUAGCAAGUUAAUUAAUUAGAGUGUUCUUACAGUGGAAUGGUGGUUAUACUCGUAAAGCAUAAUUUUGAAAACUUGAUGUUGAAGAUGGUGUCUGAUAGAAAAUGAAAGAAAGAAGAAAAAGCAAAGAAUGAUGAAAGCAUAAAAGAGAUUUUAUAUAUGAAGUGAGAGUACAAAAGCAUCAUAGACAUUCUGGUUACAGAUUCAUGGAAAGAGAGAGAGAAGAUGAUUAUUGAUGGAGGCACUACAAAGAUGAAAGUCUUUUAUUUAGGAGAUAGAUAAUAUGCUACGUUGCAUGGUUUAGAAGUGACCAUUUUCUUCAACGGGUGGGUGCUUACCAUAAGGGGGCUUAUGGUAUGGCUUUGGUUUGGGUUUAGGCUCGUAAAUUGGUGGUCUUGGCUUGUGGAUGGGUGGCUUAUACUUACGGGGUGGUUUGUAGAAGCUGUCAGACUCAGAUUCAGCAGCAAGCCCUUGAGGGGUCAGAAUCAGAGCCAAAAGGAACAACACAACCAAAGUUAAGAGAGAAUUAGCCAUCUUCAUUCUGUUAUUGCUUCUGCAUCUUACUCACUCAUUCAUCUCCUUUUAUAGUCAGCCUUCACGCACGUCUCAAUCCAAUUCAUUUAUCGUUCCCUCUGUCACUGUAUCAAAUGUCAAACAUUUGGUGUGCAUUUUUCUAUGCCCACUGGUCCCAUUUUGUAUCUCUCCCACUUAAUAAUACCCUCUGUGUUUAUCUCUCCCACUUACUUUUUCUUUAUUAUCAUACCAUUCUCCAAACUUUAUCGUUAAUUCUCAUCUGAAUUCGACCACUGUCGGAUACAACAAAACAAAAACACUUUCUACUACUCAUCUAGUAUACUCUCUAAUAAUUACAGAACCAUCUCGGAUCCGGUUCCCGGAUUGUUGCCGACAACACUAUUCGGCCCUAUGACACAUUUAAUUUAUUGAAUUCGUGACAAAAAUUAUCUCUGUAAUAAAAUUUAAUAUAAAUUUUUUAAUAACGUGUAUAAAUAAAUAGGAAAUGUUUUUUAAUAAUUUUUUUACAAUAUUAUUUGUGAUUGAUUUAUUUUAAAUAUUUUUUUUUAAAAUAAAUUUAUAUAGAUCAAUAAAACAAUAAAAUGUGACUGUUGUCAAAAAAAUUAUUAUGGAAAAGUUGUUAAUAGUCUAAAUAAAUAAUACAAAUGACAUAUUAUUAUUUGUUUGGACCAAUUUUUGUGAUUGUGACUUUUGUUUUAAUAGUAAAAUUAUUUUUUUGGUUUAUUCUUAAUUGAUCAAUCCAUUUUAUUUUGAAUAGGAAUAAUAGUUAACCUUCGUGAUUGUUUACAACACAUUUUAUUACAUACUGAUACAGUUGUUAUCAUGUGAUAUUGAUUCACACGGAUGAAUAUUUAUAUGAAGACGAUUAUUUGAUAAUGUAUUUUUAUUCUAAUUAUUUUAAUUUAAUUAUUUUUUAUUUUUCUGAAGUUCUAACUCAUAUCAUUAUAACUUUUUCUUAUUUUAUUAUCUUUGUCCUGUAUUCAAUUAAUUAAAUAAAAACAAAAAACAAAUAUCAUUAAACAUAAUAAAAUAAAAAUAAAUAAAAAAUCACUUUACUUAAAACAAAAUUAAAACUAUUUGGGUCCAAAAAAAAUAUUUUGAAUUGAAAUUUUCAUAAACAUGAUGACUUCACUUAAAAAAAAUGUUGAAAUUGUAGCAUUUCAUAAGACUUCAACUAUAAGAAAACCUUCAUAAGUAUAAUAACUUCACUUUAAGAAACUAAAAAAAAGAAUAGAAGUCGUUAUAGUCGUACCAUCUAAUAUGACUUUAACCCAUAUGUACGACUUAUCUUAUUGUGUAAAAUUUUAAAAAUCUAACUUCUUUACAUAAAUACAAAAGUUGAUUAAUUCCUUUUGGUUAAUUAACCUGUUUACAAAUACUUCACUACAAUAUUGGUAUGUUGAUAUCAAAUUCAGUCAUGGAAUAGUUUAAAUAGAGACGUAGUUUAAAUAGUUUUUUUUUCUACUAUAAUUUAUCCAUAUAUUGUAUAAAGACAUGACAAUUAUUGAGAAAAUGAAAAAGUUCAUUGUCUAAGAAAGAUAAAGAAAAUGAGCUAUAUGAUUAAGAUAUUAUAAAGGAUGGAUAAUAUUUUAUGUAAUAUUUAUUACUACACAAAAAAAAAAAAACAUUAGAAUUAAUGAAUGGCUAUAGUUGAAAGAAAUAAAAGAAAGUAGUAAUAGUAGUGGAGGAAGAAAAAGAACAUAAAAAUCCAUUAUAAUGGCUAGUUUUAUUAGUGUCUCCUGUAUAAGAAAUGAAAAAGUGGAUCUAAAACAAGAGAGAUAAGACACAACACUUUGAUAAAGCGACAAGAAGCCUAUCUUGUUUAAAUCUCAUUUUGUUCUCCAAACAUCUUAUUUGUUAUAAAAACUCUCAUUUAGUAUAUAUCUAAUGAGUGAUUAUAUGCUAGUGAGCUUUCUUUUUGUAACUUGUCUUUGAGACCUAAAAACCUAAACUUAGAAGUAAGUUUAAAUAUCUAUUUUUGAGUUUUACACUACAAAAACUACAGUAAUUAACGUCCACAAAAACCCCACGAAGAAAACAAAAGAAUAUGAAUCACAUAAUCGAACAAAAAAAAAAUAAGAAAAUUUUAUCUUAGAAGUCCCACGUUAACUUGAUUAAUGAUCAAUUUAUAAUAUAUAAAUGGAUAUAAAUCUCAUCGUACAAAUAGUUUUUUAGAAUUGAGUUAGAUUUAAAAUCUGAUUUUGAGUACUGACAAAGAUAAACACAAUAUACAAAUUCACAAAAUGGAUAAUGAUAUUUAGACAACAUUUUUUUGAUAACAUUUAAACAUCACCUACGUGUCAUUUUGUUAUUGGUCCAGUGGUGUUUAGAUAGAUAAUCCUGAACACGCAACCUCCAGUCAUGUUUUUUCCUUUUUACAUGUGUUCUUUUUUCCUUUUAUAAAGGGGUUCACCUCUUUGGCCAGUGUAACUUUUCAAUACAUUAUUUCUCUCCCCUUUCUUGUUUGUCUUCCUUUAGCUAUGCAAGACAUGUUCUUUUUUGCUUUUCUUUUUAGCCUAAUGGUUCACACUGUUCUUGUGUCAGUCUAUUAUGCACAACUUUAAAUAUAAAAUUUAUAUUUUGAAUUAUUUUAGAUUAUAAAAUAAAAAUAUAUAUUUUAACUUACAAAAUCCAAAAUAAAAAUUUUAUAUUCUAAAAUAUAUUAUUCAAAUUGUAUAUUUUAAAACUCAAAAUAAACAUAUGUAUUGUUCUUACGAAUCAUGUAUUCUUGGAUUGAGAAAACCUGAAACGUGUGAUGUUAUGUUAUGGGAGAGCAUGAGUACCAAAGGAGGAGUUUGUGGUUGAGAGAAUAAUGAGAGAAAAUUUAGUGUUUUCUUUUUUUUCUCUUAAUCUAAUCUAAUAACUAUAGAAAAUUCACUAUUUUAGUAACCUCAAUUUUACAUGCAUUCUAUUUCUUCUACUUAGACCCUAUUAAACUCCUCAUCCAACAUAUUAAUUUCAUCUAUACCAUAAAAAGGUAAUUAAUUAAAACACAAAAAUAACAUAAAUAGUCACAUGCAAAAUUUAAAAUUAAAUCAAUAUUAUGAAUUUUCUAAGACUUAAACACUAAAAUUGAUAAAAAAAAAUAAAAUAAAAAACAAAAAUCAAAAUUGUGACUUAAAAAAAUGAAAUAGUAAAAUAAGUAUUAAUAUAUUUUAUUUUUAAUAAGUUAAAAAAAUAUAAUAUUAAUAACAACUUUAAAUUUAUUAAUUUUAUUGAUUACUAUGGUUAAACACAAGUAAAUUUUUUAAUAUAUAUCAUAUAAAAAAUAUUUAAUAAUUUUUUAUAAUUAAUUACAUAUUAAAAGUAAUUUUUCAUAAUAAUUUGUAAGAAAACAAACACGUAUUUAAUUAUUUUAAUAAUUAAUAUAAUAAAAAAGACUAAAAAUUUUAUACUGAAAUUAUAAUUUUUUUAAUUAUACUAAAAGAGUAUAUAUCAACAUUUAUUAUAUUAAAAUAAUUAUUUAUCCUAAAAUACACAAACUAAAUUAUUGAACUGAAUUAUAUAAAAUUAAUAAAAGAGAAAAUAAAAAUAAAAAACGUGUAAAGAAGGGACAAAAUUAAAUGUGAACACAUAUUUGUAAUUAAUAUAUUUUCGGCUGAUUGAAAAGGUGUUGAUCAGUAUACGACGAAAGUGUCUUUGUCUGCUUGAUGCCAUUUCCAUCACAGUAGAAGUAGCCGACUGCAACUCAUCCUCCAUUACUGUAUAAUUGUUUCAACUUUUCAAGACUGAUUCAUGUGCUUUCACAUUUAUGAUCAAUGUUUUUGGACAGAAACAUGUUGGCUAUAUUAUUCAUUGUUUGGUUAAAUUUCGAUAAGGUUUGAAAUUUCAACGGAUAGGUAGGGAAUAUGAAAUUUGCUACUCUCAAAUUAAAGACUAUAGUACCAUUCUUAUUGUGAGUCGUUGAAAAACUUUAGUAAUUUCGUUAUCAAACUUUUUUCUUUUGCUAGUAAUUUUAUUAAGUUAUGUCAUCUUCUCUUGUUUUAUGUGCUACCACCACCAUUUGUUCUUGUUUUUACUAAUGUAUAAUUAGAACAAAGAAUAAGCUAAUGCAUUUAAAGUAAAAAAAAAAAAAAAAAAAAACAAAAUUAUUAUCAAUUUAUAUUUGAGAAAAACAUAAUUCUCGGUUUAAUUUUCAUUUUUUUCAUCUAUUUUAAAUACUUAUUCACUAAACAUACUAAGUAAAAACCAUUCUAACUAUUCAAACAGUUCAUAUUUAUCAAAAUCAACUAUCCAACAUACAUUAGUGCACAUAACUUUAUUUGCACAAAAAUAGUUCACCUUUAUCAAAAUCAAUUAUCCAACUUUAGCCCACACCACACAUAUAGAUCCAAAUGGCUCAGACAAAUAAAUACAUCUAGACGCUGCUUCUAAAAGACUGGUUUAUCGAAUAGACUGAUGAAUAAAUACAUCCUAUCAUACUUACUACUAAUUUCUUCUCAUUAUAACCAUAUUAGAAACCAAUAUUGUUCAUCAAGUCAUAACAUGAUUAACUUCACUAGUUCCCUGAUUCUCUUUCAUAUCAUAUAGUCUAAAGUGAAGCUUCCUUUGACUCUCACCACGUGGAUAUUUUUCACUAUGUAAGUUGGAUACUAGUAGAGUCGGGAUAAUCUCAUUGACGAAAUCCCUUUCAAUACACUUUGACACACUAAAUAGUAGCAUUUUCAAUUGAAAAUAGGUAUUAGGACUCAAACUGCACAUUAUCAAACCAAACCAAGUUCAAAAAAAUCUACCUUUAUAUAACAUUCAACAUAACUUCCACCCAACACAACAUCCCCACCGCUCACACUCCAAAAUGUAUCAUUUUUCACCCAACGCUUGAAAGCUACCACCUAGCGUCCACACUGCUGCAACUAUGAUGCUCAACGGUGUUCAAGGCCUAACCUAGCGGUAACAAGUCAAUAGUUGGUAUCUUAAGAAAUUUACACUAACACCCAACAAUACCCACACAAACAAAACUGAAACACGUCUAAAAUGCUUUAAAUGUUAAUAUACCAAAGAUAACAUACCCACUUUUAUCAAUAUGAUUCACUUCAUGUUCACAAACUACAUCAAUUCAUUGCUUUCAUCUACUUUAAGUUACCAUCUAUCAAUUAUACAUCAUUACAGACAUAAAUACCCAUAUUGUUGUUCAAGAUAUGAAACCUCAUUCAAAAGAUUUCAAUUCUAUAACACAUCUCUUAUGAAUCUAACCAACUUUCACCCAAAACCCAACAACUAAAAUUGGGAAAAUUGAAUAAGAUAAAAGAUCCUUACACUUACAAAUUUCACAAAGGUACAUGAUACUUUUAUAAUCGGUGCAACAUAAUAAUUCAAGACAUACAUGCACACUAAAACACUAAUUACCAAUAUGAUAUAUAUUCUAAAGUUAUUUAAAGUUUCAAACACAUUAAAAGGAUUCUAAACCUAGUGCAAAAAUCACAUACAAAUUUACUUACAUCAAAUAUACUAAUUUCUCAAUAAUUGAUAGAGACAAAGGUCCAACCAAAACUCAACCCUUCUCAAUACCAUUCUAUUAUAUAUUGCCACAGUACUCAAAACAACCAAAAACCAAAUUUCUCUUCUUCCUUCAAUAGUUUCACAAGUUCGACAUUUAGAUUUUCUUUAUUAAGCCAACAUCAAAAACAAUUUUGCACGUCUGCUACAUUAAUCACAAAUAUAGUCCAAUCUAAAUUUCUCAAUCAAAUUUUGUGCAUCGUAGAUUUCCAUGCAUAUAAUUAUGAAUACAAAUUAAAAAUAAACUAAAUGAUUAGUUUUCCUUACCUUAAAGAAAAUUCUUAGUGCUACUUUUCUCCUACACAACUUCAAAAUGUAUAAUUGCUCUAUCUAUAUAUACAACCGAAAAAGAGCCUCAUGGAAGAGAUAAAACAUAUUACUUUAACGAAAAAGAGACAAAAAUUGAAAUUACUCAAAAGAUGAAAUUGAUCGAUACAAAAUGUUCCUUAGCUCCUCAAUUUCAACAUGAUGCAUUUUGAUUUUGAAAAAUAUGAGAAAUUAAAGGUGAAAUUUGAGAGAGAAGGGAGAAAAAUGGUUGAAAGAAAAGAAAAAAUUUUAUAGUGUGUGUGGGGUUUACAAUAUGUAUGAGUAACUUCUCCAAGCCCUUCUAUAAGGGCUAUUUUAUAAUAUAGCAGUUGCUUCCAACAUUUCCUAAAAUUAUAGUUAUUAGUUGUGUUCAAUAUAGUAAAAAGUAUGUGAAGUACACAGGAACACACUAGAGAGAAGGGAGGUGAAGAGUGUUUUCAAAACAUUUUCACAAAGUAGCAUCUAAAUAACUUGUAAUGAGAAUAUAUAAAGGUGUACUAUGCUUUGACGCUGGUUUUAUGGGAUAGGUAAAUAAGAAUAGGUUCAGACGAUGGCAUUUCAAAAGAAUUUGUAAAAGCUUUAAGGGGAAAAACAAUAAAGUGCAAUUUUUAUACUAGUUCACUCAAUCUGAGCUAUGUCUAGUUCUCUUUUAAAAAUUCUUAGGGGUUUCAAUAAUCUUAUCAAAGAUUGCACAAGUUUAACCCACUCUUGGUUGCAAGUAUUCUUACACCACUCCUGGUCUCCUAGUCAACACAACUAGUCCGAGUUUAGUCUCUCUAAGAUAUAACCCUAUACAACACGUCUAGACUGAGUUUACCGACUCCUGGUUGUAAGUAUUCUUACACCACUUUUGGUCCCCUAUUUAACACGAUUAAUCCAAGUUUGACUUCUCUAAAAUCUAACACUAGACAACUGUCUAAACGAGUUUACUCACUCUUGGUUGCAAGUAUUAUUUUUCACUCCUAACACCCGAGUAUUUUAACCAUUCCUAGUUUACAAGUGUAUGAAUACAAAAUGGAAAUAACUCUUUUAGAAAGGAUGUUUAAUGAGAACAAAAUAUUCCGAAGUUCUUGUAAUUGCUCUCUCUCUAAUCAAAUGACAUAGGCUUAGAGCAAGACGCAUUUCUGUUGUUGACUCUCCAGUUUUCUCUCCUCUUGAUUUUUUUUUUUGCAUUAGACGCUAUGAGCACGAAGACAAACAUCAGAGUAGAUUUUCAAUAAGGUUUUCUUUUCUUUUCUUCUCUUCUCUUUUCUUUUUUGAAAGCUUUGAAAACUUUCAUGAUGGAAAACUUAGAGUUCUAUAAAAUUUAAGAAAUAAGAAAGAAAUUGAAAUCAUAGAAAGAUCCACAACAUUUCGCAAAAUUUUUGACAAGUGCUCAAUACUUCAAUUAUAACUAAUCUACUUUUGUAUUUAUGUAAAAAAAAUUGAAUUUUUAAAAUUUUACAUAAUAGGAUGAAGUCAUACAUGGGUUAAAGUCAUUUUAGAUAGUAUGACUGCAACUGAAUCAAAUUUCUCUUAUUUGAAGUUGUACGAGGUUACAUGACUUCUAUUUUUUAUUUUUUUAUUUUCUUAACGUGAAGUUAUUAUAGGUUUAUUUAAAAACAUUAUUUUAAUAUUAUAGUUGAAGUCAUAUGAAACGGUAUAACUUCAACAUUUUUUCUAAGUGAAGUCAUCAUGUUUAUGAAAACCUCAAUUCAAAAUAUUUUUUUUGGUACCGAAGUAGUUUUAAUUUUGUUUGAAGUAAAGUGAUUUUUUUAUUUUUUAUUUUAUUAUGUUUGAUGAUAUUUUAUUUUGUUUUUAUUUAAUUAAUUUAAUAUAGUAGUAUACUAUAUGAGUAGUAGGGUAGUAGAAAGUGUUUUUGUUUUGUUGUAUCCGACAGUGGUCGAAUUCAGAUUAGAAUUAACGAUAAAGUUUGGAGAAUGGUGUAAUAGUAUAGAAAAAAGUAAGUGGGAGAGAUAAACACAGAGGCUAUUAUUAAGUGGGAGAGAUACAAAAUGGGACCAGUGGGCAUAGAAAAAUGCACACCAAAUGUUUGACAUUUGACAGAGUGACAGAGGGAACGAUAAAUGAAUAGGAUUGAGACGUGCGUGAAGGCUGACUAUAAAAGGAGAUGAAUGAGUGAGUAAGAUGCAGAAGCAAUAACAGAAUGAAGAUGGCUAAUUCUCUCUUAACUUUGGUUGUGUUGCUCCUUUUGGCUCUGAUUCUGACCCCUCAAGGGCUUGCUGCUGAAUCUGAGUCUGACAGCUUCUACAAACCACCCCAUAAGUAUAAGCCACCCAUCCACAAGCCAAGACCACCAAUUUACAAGCCUAAACACAAACCAAAGCCAUACCACAAGCCCCCUUAUGGUAAGCACCCACCCGUUGAAGAAAAUGGUCACUUCUAAACCAUGCAACGUAUCAAGUUAUCUAUCUCCUAAAUAAAAACACUUUCAUCUUUGUAGUGCCUCCAUCAAUAAUCAUUUCAAUCAUCUUCUCUCUCUCUUUCCAUGAAUCUGUAACCAGAAUAUCUAUCAUGCUUUUGUACUCUCACUUCAUAUAUAAAAUGUCUUUUAUGCUUUCCUCGUUCUUUGCUUUUUCUUCUUUCUUUCAUUUUCUAUCAGACACCAUCUUCAACGUCAAGUUUGAAAAAUUAUGCUUUACGAGUAUAACCACCAUUCCACU